UACGGAGGGGGCUAGCGUUGUUCGGAAUUACUGGGCGUAAAGCGCGCGUAGGCGGCUUAGCAAGUUAGAGGUAGAACGCCGGAGCUUAACUCCGGAAUUGCCUUUAAAACUGCAAAGCUAGAAUCAUGGAGAGGUGAGUGGAAUUCCGAGUGUAGAGGUGAAAAUUCGUAGAUAUUCGGAAGAACACCAGUGGCGAAGGCGACUCACUGGACAUGUAUUGACGCUGAGGUGCGAAAGCGUGGGGAGCAAACAGG
rnacentral:rRNA from 1 species